AAUAUUUGGUCCCCCUAAUUUUGUAAUCGCUCAUAAUCGUCGGCUUCAUCUUCCUUUGGCUUCUUCUUCCAGCGGGAUUGACUUCACUCAGGCUUGAUUAUGGAGAUUGAGACUCACGACUCAGUACCUGAGAAGAGGCUGGUUAAAGUCGAAUUCAAACUUGGGACAGAGAGCUACACCAUUGAUGCAAACAAAGGUGAUACUGUCUUGGACCAAUUGGUUUCGAUGAAAGAGGAAAGUAUGAAGAUACUGAAGGAGUUUAUUACAAAGCAUAAUGUUCCAGAUGAUGUCCCCGAUGAAAUAUUAUCUGAUGUAGAAGGUGAGGAGGAGGAUGCUUCUCAUGUAAAAUGUCCUGUGAAGCCGAAGAAGACAAAGAUUUGAUUUUACUGUGUUAUCAUUAUCACUUCCUGUCUUUUUUUGUCUUCCAUGGAUUGUUGCAUAUGUUAAGCUUGGUUUUGUGAUAUACAAGUUAAGUGGUAGAUCUUUGUCGAGUUUACUAAUUGUGGAAGGGUUUUGUUUAUCUAAGAAGAAUAUGAGGAUUCAGGGUAAGAGAUGUCCAAGCAUCAAUUGGUGUAAGGAUUUAGGGUAAGAGAUAUUUAAGCAUCAAUUAGUGUAAGGAUUUAGUGUAGAUGUUGAGAUUUUGUUUGAAGAAUAAUAAGGAUUUAGUGUAAGCUUAUAUGCUAGGUGCAAUAUAAAAAUGGUGUUAGUGGAUUCAAAGGGAGCUGGAGUUAUUGGAGAGCUCUUGGGACUAUGUCAAAACUGUGAGAAACACCAGAGGACAAUGCUCGGCUUGAUGGAAUUA